AGCGAACGCUGGCGGCAGGCCUAACACAUGCAAGUCGAGCGCCGUAGCAAUACGGAGCGGCAGACGGGAGAGUAACACGUGGGAACGUGCCCUUUGGUUCGGAACAACCCAGGGAAACUUGGGCUAAUACCGGAUAAGCCCUCACGGGGAAAGAUUCAUCGCCGAAGGAUCGGCCCGCGUCUGAUUAGCUAGUUGGUGGGGUAAUGGCCCACCAAGGCGACGAUCAGUAGCUGGUCUGAGAGGAUGAUCAGCCUCACUGGGACUGAGACACGGCCCAGACUCCUACGGGAGGCAGCAGUGGGGAAUAUUGGACAAUGGGCGCAAGCCUGAUCCAGCCAUGCCGCGUGGGUGAUGAAGGCCCUAGGGUUGUAAAGCCCUUUCGGCGGGGAAGAUAAUGACGGUACCCGCAGAAGAAGCCCCGGCUAACUUCGUGCCAGCCGCCGCAGUAACAC
rnacentral:rRNA from 1 species